rnacentral:rRNA from 1 species
UGAGGAAUAUUGGUCAAUGGACGGAAGUCUGAACCAGCCAUGCCGCGUGGAGGAUGAAGGCGUUCUGCGUUGUAAACUUCUUUUAUCUGGGAAGAAGCCACAGAUUUCUAUUUGUGUUGACGGUACCAGAUGAAUAAGCACCGGCUAACUCCGUGCCAGCAGCCGCGGUAAUACGGAGGGUGCGAGCGUUAUCCGGAUUUACUGGGUUAAAAGGGUCCGUAGGCGGGCUAUUAAGUCAGAGGUGAAAUCUCCGGGCUCAACCUGGAAACUGCCUUUGAUACUAUUAGCCUUGAAUUAUGUUGAGGUUGGCGGAAUAUAACAUGUAGCGGUGAAAUGCUUAGAUAUGUUAUGGAACACCGAUUGCGAAGGCAGCUGGCUAAACAUAUAUUGACGCUGAUGCACGAAAGCGUGGGUAGCGAACA